rnacentral:rRNA from 1 species
AGUGAACGCUGGCGGUAGGCCUAACACAUGCAAGUCGAACGGCAGCACAGGAGAGCUUGCUCUCUGGGUGGCGAGUGGCGGACGGGUGAGGAAUACAUCGGAAUCUACUUUUUCGUGGGGGAUAACGUAGGGAAACUUACGCUAAUACCGCAUACGACCUACGGGUGAAAGCAGGGGACCUUCGGGCCUUGCGCGAUUGAAUGAGCCGAUGUCGGAUUAGCUAGUUGGCGGGGUAAAGGCCCUCCAAGGCGACGAUCCGUAGCUGGUCUGAGAGGAUGAUCAGCCACACUGGAACUGAGACACGGUCCAGACUCCUACGGGAGGCAGCAGUGGGGAAUAUUGGACAAUGGGCGCAAGCCUGAUCCAGCCAUACCGCGUGGGUGAAGAAGGCCUUCGGGUCGUAAAGCCCUUUUGUUGGGAAAGAAAUCCAGCUGGCUAAUACCCGGUUGGGAUGACGGUACCCAAAGAAUAAGCACCGGCUAACUUCGUGCCAGCCGCCGCAGUAA